rnacentral:rRNA from 1 species
UACGUAGGGUGCGAGCGUUGCCCGGAUUUAUUGGGCGUAAAGGGCGCGUAGGCGGCCACGCACGUCCGUUGUGAAAUCGCCCGGCUCAACUGGGCGGGGUCAGCGGAUACGGUGUGGCUCGAGCAAGCUAGGGGGCAAUGGAAUUCCCGGUGUAGUGGUGAAAUGCGUAGAUAUCAGGAGGAACACCGGUGGUGUAGACGGCUCUCUGGACCGUAACUGACGCUGAGACACGAAAGCGUGGGUAGCAAACAGG